UGCAAGCCGAGCGGUAUUUGUUCUUCGGAACAGAGAGAGCGGCGUACGGGUGCGUAACACGUGUGCAACCUGCCUUUAUCUGGGGGAUAGCCUUUCGAAAGGAAGAUUAAUACCCCAUAAUAUAUUUUACGGCAUCGUAAGAUAUUGAAAACUCCGGUGGAUAGAGAUGGGCACGCGCAAGAUUAGAUAGUUGGUGAGGUAACGGCUCACCAAGUCAAUGAUCUUUAGGGGGCCUGAGAGGGUGAUCCCCCACACUGGUACUGAGACACGGACCAGACUCCUACGGGAGGCAGCAGUGAGGAAUAUUGGACAAUGGGUGAGAGCCUGAUCC
rnacentral:rRNA from 1 species